GACGAACGCUGGCGGCGUGCCUAACACAUGCAAGUCGAGCGAAGUUUAUUUAGCAGCGACUUCGGUCAAAGCUGAUUAAACUUAGCGGCGAACGGGUGAGUAACACGUAGGCAACCUGCCCAUGACACGGGGAUAGCUUCGGGAAACCGGAGGUAAUACCCGAUACCUUUACUUAUUGCAUGAUAAGUAAAGAAAGCGAAUAGCGGUCAUGGAUGGGCCUGCGUCCCAUUAGCUAGUUGGUGAGAUAACAGCCCACCAAGGCGACGAUGGGUAGCCGACCUGAGAGGGUGACCGGCCACACUGGAACUGAGACACGGUCCAGACUCCUACGGGAGGCAGCAGUGGGGAAUCUUGCGCAAUGGGCGAAAGCCUGACGCAGCGACGCCGCGUGAGCGAAGAAGGCCUUCGGUCGGUAAGCUCAGUCAUGGGUAGUGAGAUGACAGUACCCAACGGAAGGGAAGGACCCCGGGCCGUAACCGUAACCGUACGUCCGACGCAGCCGCGGGUAAACGUAAGUACG
rnacentral:rRNA from 1 species